CACGUAGGGGGCAAGCGUUGUCCGGAUUUAUUGGGCGUAAAGAGCUCGUAGGCGGCUUAGUAAGUCGGGUGUGAAACCUCCAGGCUCAACCUGGAGACGCCACCCGAUACUGCUGUGGCUAGAGUCCGGUAGGGGAGCGUGGAAUUCCUGGUGUAGCGGUGAAAUGCGCAGAUAUCAGGAGGAACACCGAUGGCGAAGGCAGCUCGCUGGGACGGUACUGACGCUGAGGCGCGAAAGCGUGGGGAGCAAACAGG
rnacentral:rRNA from 1 species